GCCUUCUUGCAAGAUGAAAACCAUACCUUAAAACAAGGUCACAUAACACCAUUCCCUGCCCUGCAUCCAAGGUUAGAAAUCUGAGGCCAGAGGUAUUAAGUGAUCCAGUUAGGAGCAGCUUCAUUCUCCUUGAAAUCAUGCUGUCUUCAAAAGAACAGAGAAUAUGCUUUAUGCACGAAAAGAAUGCUACCAUCCAAGAAACUCCUAGAGGACAUGCACUACCAAAUAUAGGAGUCAGCUGUGAAAGAGGGAAACUCAGAAUCUUGGAUCACUUUUCUCCAACUGCACCAACGUGCCCCGGAAAGCCACAGCAAAAUCACAGGGUGCCAUGGAAUAUUUUCGUCAUCAGAGAAGAUACAUGGCCAUCUGUCAGAUACCAGGUGAACUACCAGUAUUAAUUUGUUGGGACUUAAAUACUUAAUACACAGAAAUGUUAUGUUAUUUUUUUUUGGUCUAUAAGUGUCAUAAAAAAUAAUGUGACACAAAGGGUAUUAGGAGAACCUUUGAAAAUAUUUGAUCUAGGAAAUGGAAUAUCUAACAGAAGACAAAAGCAAAGGGAAUCUUCAGAAGGAUAAUGAAAAGAGUCUUAGAGCCUAAUGUUGAGCAGGUCUAGAGAUCUACCAGGCAACAUUAAAGCAGGUCACAAGAUUCUGGGAGAUACUUUUUCAAAGAAAUAAGUGCUAGUAUGUUCAAUGGGUUCAAACAAAUUGAGAAAGGAAAUCUGCAUCACUUUGAAGGUCAUGGUAUGAUUUAUGAUAAACACAUAGAAAAAGAAAUAAAUUAUAUUGCAACAAUUGCCAAUAUACAGAUAAGAAAAAGAUGCAGAAAGAAAAAUAACCAUAGUAGGCCUGGCUCAUUUAAUAGCAGUUUUUACAAUGUAAAAUACUGCAAGCCCUGAAUAAUUUUUAAAAGAUGGUGUAUUUUAAGGGAAUAUAGGAGACAGAAAGCAUGCAAAUUUUUUAGGGUGCAUGUGCAUGCUUGUGUUUGUGUGUAUAAGA
rnacentral:lncRNA from 1 species